ensembl:lncRNA
GUAAACCUGGUGGCCUCCAGACUGAGAGGCAGAUGAAUGAGUUAACUCACUCAACCAGGAGUUCUGAGCAGAAGCAAGGGCCAGAGAAUGUACAGCCUUGCAAGUCCUGGGAAGGGAGUUUUAGUAUCUCCACGCCAACCUGUAAACUGCUGAAUGAUAACUAAAAGGUCUCUCUCUGCAAUCCCCAUUGCAAGAAUCGGUAGAUGUGGGGAGCUGGCAGAGCCCUGGAUGGGUGCGUGGAGUGCGGAUCGUGGGCCUCGACUUCUGUCAAAAGGACAUAUAUUAAAGCCCUGUGAGUGUCACAGAAGCCCUAUUAACUUCACACAAGAGAGGUGCUUUUAAAGUGCUGUGGAAAGUAGUUGUUGCUACACGGACUGUAAUCCUGUAAUCCCAGAGCAAGGUGACUCUGGUCAGCGCCACUUGUCCCUGAGGUUCUGGGAACAGCAUCCAAUACAACAUAGCCCACGUGGGCCACCAGGGUGGCUGCCGCCUCUUCUGCAGACCUGGGACCCUGGAGCACACCUGUGUACACAGCAUCUCUGCCGUUUCACGCACACGACACCGAUGCCUCGCACUCUUCUCUCCUCACGGGGAUGCUUUUUAAAGUCAAAGUCCUAGUGAUUGUAUCUCACUGAUGGGAAAUAGAUCAUAACCCUCUCAGGAAAGUCUGGGAAGCGUAGUUUUUAGUUUUUAGCAUUUUGAAAGGAAGUUGGGAUGAAUAUUGCCACAGACAAGAGUCAGAUUCUAC